CUGUACAGCUCAGUAAUUCAGUACACAAUUAUGGAGCAUAAAAUCUUGGGAUUUACAAUACUGUUGCUGGCUUCUCAAUAUUGUUGGUGUCAAACACUGACUGAGUCUGAGUCUGUAGUCAUGAAA